rnacentral:rRNA from 1 species
AUGGAACGCCUUCUCCAUGUCAAACCAGACUACACAUCUCUCCGUGUGUUUGGCUGUGCUUGUUGGCCCAAUCUUCGGCCGUACAAUAAUCGCAAACUCAUGCUUAGAUCCAAGCAAUGUGCUUUUCUUGGCUAUAGUGCUCAGCACAAAGGUGUCAAGUGUCUUGACAUCUCGACUGGCCGGGUCUACAUCUCACGGGAUGUCGUGUUCGAUGAGACCAAGUUCCCCUUUGCGGACCUACAUCCUAAUGCCGGUGCUCUCCUGCGCAAGGAAAUCUUGCUUCUACCAUCCCAUCUCUCUGGCUAUGAUCAAGGGGGCAUUACUAAUUGUGAUGAUCAUAUGUUGACUAACCCUACUGAUGGUCUUUAUGAGUCUUGUGAUGAUGCAGAAAACAGCGGUGAAACAAUCGCAGCAAAUGGUGAAGAAAACAAUGCAGCAGCUCCAUAUUUCACGUGUCCCAGCCUGAGCAACAAAUCCUCCUCGGGAUCUGGGCAGGUGCUGCUGCCGCGCAGCGCAUCCACCUCGGGAUCGGAGCUCUGCCACGGAUCGGCUCAAUCCGUGUCAGCCACUCGGCGGGCUUUGGAAGGCCGCGGAGAUACUCCCCAUGCGCACCAAUCGCCGCCAGACAGAUGGCAGGCCGGCGCUGGCCUGGACCGCGCGUGA